rnacentral:tRNA from 1 species
GGUUGUUCUGGCUCGGGAAGUAUCAGCGCGUCUGUCUCUGGCACAGGCUCCGGCACAGGCUCUGGCUUCUGUUUCGACCC